GCCAGAGUGGCAUAGUGGUUUGAGUGUUGGACUAUGACUCUGGAGGCAUGGGUUCGAUUCCCCACUCUGCCA